AAUGGAGCUCUGACACCUCUAGGGAUGAAGUGGCUCUGCUAUAUUGUGGGACUUGUGGGAACUGGCUGGCACACAGUGGAUCUCUUCCUUAGCUACCUCCUGUUGGUGGUUGUGUAUAUCUAAACGGAAAAUGACAGCCAGAAAACACCACGAGAAAGAAAGCAGCUGCUCUAACGAGGAGAGCAGGUUGAUGUGGAGCGGGUAGAAAUUAAUCUCUCGGAAGUGCCUCUUCACAGCCAGGUGACAUGUCAGAGCCACUCAGGAAAGGCUUACCCCAACUCCUGAACCAAGCAGCCUCCCAGAACUUAGCUCCUGGGAAGAACUUCUCAAGACCAUUCUCAUUUCAACAAAGCUCUGGUAUAACAGGGCACCUGGGGGGGGGGGGGGGAAGGAACGACGACCACAGGUUGUUCUACUAGUUUGGGGAAAAGAAUGUUGUUCUACUAGUUUCCCGGGAUUGCUGCAAUUGGCCGGAAACCACCGGGAGAAGAAGGAAGGAGAAAUAAAGGAAGAUUAAUCACCUAUAGUUAAGUAAAUUACAUACAUUUUUUUGGGGUCAUCAACAGGUUGUAAGUAAGCUCUCUAUAUACCAAUUUUGGAAAAUCUUGAACUGGAAAAAAAAAAUCCAGUAGGAUACAUGCCAUUUAGAAAAGAGCCAGGAAGUGGAGCAUAAGAAUGUAAGUAUAUUCUUAGUCUGCAUACAAGUAAACGCUAGAAGGAUUUGGAACUUCGAGAACAGAGAACUACGGCAAAUUAUAUACUUAUUCUCAAAUCAAAGUUAAAAUUUGCCAGUAGCUAGAGAACUGCAUGUUAAUAAAAAAUACUUAUAAAAGCAAAGUUCAACACAAGGGAAACGCAAAGGGUAACUAUUUUGGAAACAUUGACUUGAAUAUUCUACCAAAUAUUAUCAUUAUCCAAAUCAGGAUAACGUUUUGUGUUCAAAUCAUCUGCGCUUAUUACAGAGUCCAUAAGAUAAUGGAGGACAUUUGUACACUGAUGAAAACAGUGGACAAAGUAAACUAUAACAUGCUCAACUACUGGAAAACUGUAGCCAGUUAAAAAUAGUGUUUGGAAAACAAAACCCUGAAAACCGUAUUUAUGAAGGCAUUAUCUCUCCUGCCAAAUAUUAAAAAAAUGUAUCAUUAGGACCAAAAUUUAGUGGCAAGUUAAAUCUCAUGUGUCUUAAAUGUUAAACAAACAAACAAAAAACCUUUUACAAUCAACAUUUUUAAUUGAGUGUGACGCAAACUGUAAAACUGUUCUUGAAGAAAAUAAAUAAAUAAAACGAUACAAUGAUUUCU
rnacentral:lncRNA from 1 species